rnacentral:rRNA from 1 species
GCUUGUCUCAAAGAUUAAGCCAUGCAUGUCUAAGUGUAAAUACGUCUACACUGUGAAACUGCGAAUGGCUCAUUAAAUCAGUUAUCGUUUAUUUGAUGAUCUCUUGUUACAUGGAUAACCGUAGUAAUUCUAGAGCUAAUACAUGCGUCAAGCCCCGACUCACGAAGGGGUGUAUUUAUUAGAUUCAAAGCCAACCGUGUAAAAGCGUACCUUGGUGAUUCAUAAUAACUUGUCGAACCGCACGCCCUUGAGGCAGCGGUGAUUCAUUCAAAUUUCUUCCCUAUCAACUUUCGAUGUUUGGGUAGUGGCCAAACAUGGUUGCAACGGGUAACGGAGGGUUAGGGCUCGACCCCGGAGAAGGAGCCUGAGAAACGGCUACUACAUCCAAGGAAGGCAGCAGG